rnacentral:rRNA from 1 species
CCUACGGGGGGCUGCAGUGAGGAAUAUUGGACAAUGGAUGGAACUCUGAUCCAGCCAUGCCGCGUGCAGGAAGACGGCCCUAUGGGUUGUAAACUGCUUUUGUAUGGGAGCAAUAAGGUCUAUGCGUAGACUGAUGAGAGUACCAUACGAAUAAGCAUCGGCUAACUCCGUGCCAGCAGCCGCGGUAAUACGGGGGAUGCAAGCGUUAUCCGGAUUUAUUGGGUUGUAGGGGGUUUGAGGCGGUUGCAUAGAAAUAUUUCAGCUUAAGUGAAAGGGUGCCGUUGAUACUGUCAGGCUUGAAUAUGGUUGCUGUGGGUGGAAUGUGUGGUGUAGCGGUGAAAUGCUUAGAUAUCACACAGAAUAUCGAUUGCGAAGGCAGCUCACAAAGCCAUUAUUGACGCUGAUGCACGAAAGUGUGGGGAUCAAACAGGAUUAGAUACCCGAGUAGUC